GUGUAGGUGUUGCCUGUCAGUGGAAUAUGGAAAUGGCAUAACUUGAUUUCUUAAACGUCUAAAAGGAGUUUACUAUAGUAAGGAAGCUGUGGCGAGAUUCCUUCAGAUUGUGCUCACAAAGUCUAUUGACCAGGAGUAUAAGGAUCAUAAGAUAUAAACCUGUCACCCACUAGCUUCAAUUUCUGAGGUCCUGGGACGAGAUUGGGAUGAAGUGCUCACGAUCAAAUGGACCCGACAUUCAAUUGUUCUAUUUGCUCAGUCUUGAGUAACUAUAUCAAAUGUAUCUUGUAUCAAGAGAUUACUGAUACCAAUAAAUGUAUAUGCCAAAA